UUUACAUAAACUUUGGUUCUUAAACAGAACAAGAAAGAGAGGCAAAAGGUAAGAGAGGUUGGAAUUUUGAAGAAGGAUCCUGAACAAAUCAAGGAACAGAUCAGGAAACUUGAUAUGUCUAAGGCGGAAGGUGCUUUGGACAAAGCAAGAAAACAUAAAAAGAGACAGCUUGAAGAUACUCUAAAAAUGGUGGUGAAGAAGAGAAAGGAAUAUGAUGA